rnacentral:tRNA from 1 species
GUGUAGCUCAGUGGUAGAGCACUUACAUGACAUGCAUGAGGCCCUGAGUUCUAUUCUUAGCAC